AGAGUUUGAUCAUGGCUCAGAACGAACGUUGGCGGCGUGGAUUAGGCAUGCAAGUCGAACGCGAAAGGGUAGCAAUACCCGAGUAAAGUGGCGAACGGGUGAGUAACGCGUAGGAAACCUGCCUUCGAGAUGGGGAUAACACUCCUAACGGGGUGCUAAUACCGAAUGACACUGCGAAGUCGCAUGGCUUUGCAGUCAAAGGUGGCCUCUGCUCGCAAGCUACCACUCGAAGAUGGUCCUGCGUCCCAUUAGCUAGUUGGCGAGGUAACGGCUCACCAAGGCGACGAUGGGUAGCCGAUCUGAGAGGAUGACCGGCCACACUGGGACUGAGAUACGGCCCAGACUCCUACGGGAGGCAGCAGUCGAGAGGCUUCGGCAAUGGGGGAAACCCUGACCGAGCGACGCCGCGUGGAGGAUGAAGGCCUUUGGGUUGUAAACUCCUGUCAUGUGGGAAGAAACACCACCGCGCGAAUAGUAUGGUGGUCUGACGGUACCACAAGAGGAAGCUCCGGCUAACUCCGUGCCAGCAGCCGCGGUA
rnacentral:rRNA from 1 species